ACUGCGAUAUAUCAAGAAAUGCCAGCGCAAUAUGUCCUUGAAAGUGGUUACCGAGAACAGAAUGCCUGCCAAGAAUGUAAUCUCCAAAUGGCUCAAAGUAAAACAAGGAAAACAUAAACACACACCAUGGCGCUAGAGAGCGAAUAACCAUUGGGAAAAUAUGAAUGCGACCGAUCCGGAAAUACUGGUGGCAAAUGGCCAACUCUACAAUUUGCACAAAGGACCCAAAUACACAUUGGAGCCAGUAGGCGCCGCUUAUAACAUUGUCCUUGAACUGAAUGCGUCCUAUGAAAACAGCUCACUGUAUAACAUCAGUGAUGAAACAAAAGAACCGUGGGGUGAAUACGUAACCCUCCUACAGGAUCGAGCAGUUCUAGUUAUCUUCCUCCUUCUGUUCUCCUUGACAACUGUAUUUGGCAACAUGCUAGUCAUAUUAGCCGUGAUACGAGAACGAUACUUGCAUACAUCAACGAACUACUUCGUGACAUCCCUGGCUGUAGCUGACUGUUUAGUAGGACUCGUCGUAAUGCCCUUUUCUGCCCUUUAUGAGGUUCUAGAACAUACGUGGUUCUUUGGCAUGGAUUGGUGUGAUGUAUGGCGUUCACUGGACGUAUUAUUUAGUACAGCCUCCAUACUAAAUUUAUGUGUUAUUUCGUUGGACCGGUAUUGGGCUAUCACGGACCCUAUUACAUAUCCGAUGCGAAUGAGCGGACGGAAAGCGGCAUUUCUUAUAGCAGCAGUUUGGGUUUGUUCCGGAGCAAUAUCCUUUCCUGCGAUCGCAUGGUGGCGUGCCGUCCGCUUAGAGGAAGUUCCGGACUAUAAAUGCCCUUUUACGGAAAACUUAGAGUACAUAAUAUUUUCAUCGACUAUAUCCUUUUAUUUGCCACUGUUUGUGAUGGUGUUUACAUAUUACCGUAUCUAUCGUGCCGCGACAAUACAGACGCGAUCGUUGAAGAUCGGCACAAAGCAAGUGAUGCGUCCUAGUGGGGAGUUAGAAUUGACUUUACGGAUACACAGGGGUGGUACUAUGAGACAGCGAAGUGAGGUGUGUCAUGGUGUAUGUACUCCUGAAGAGCCUGACCAGGAGCCUCUAACUGCGUUGCAGAACAAUGGUUUGUCACGGUCAUCGACCCGGCUUACCAAUGUGACGCAUAACAAACAUUUGCCCAAAAACUUUUCGCUCUCCCGUAAACUAGCAAAGUUUGCGAAGGAGAAGAAAGCUGCUAAGACGUUAGGUAUCGUUAUGGGAGUGUUUAUAGUGUGUUGGUUACCUUUUUUUGUGGUGAACUUGCUCUCGGGAAUUUGCUCUUCAUGCAUUGCACAUGAGGAGAUUGUGAAUGUUGUGGUCACGUGGUUAGGCUGGGUCAACUCUUCAAUGAACCCGGUCAUUUAUGCGUGUUGGAGCAGAGAUUUUAGAAGGGCGUUCCUCAGAAUACUGUGUGUGUGCUGCCCGAGAAAACUGCGAAGAAAAUACCAACCGCAACUACGCUUCAAGCAAUCUCAGUGGCGUACAACAAGACGGUAUUAUUCGUCGGGUGAACUGCAAGCGAUCAGGCAGAAUUCUUGUGAACAAACUUAUAUAUAGCGAUAUCCCAACCUCUAUGUGCCUUUUCUGGAAUAUUCUCGACACUCGAAUCUAUUGUUUUGGAUAUCUAGUUUGUUCAAAUUGAGUACCCCGUAACAACAAUGAUGUACUCAUCCGUAUCACAGCACGAGAUGUGCCGUUUGUGACAGCAAACAAGGGCGGGAACCUGCAGACCACGUGCCAGAUGUUCCUGCCGGGAUCGUCGUACCGCGCGUAAUGGCGACAGAUACCCCCAAGAACUCGACCCUAUCACCAGCAUACAAUGUGACAAAUUAUACCCAGAUUCAGAAUCUGUUAGCGAAGUAAGUC